CCUCUCUCCCUCCCUCUCUCUGUCCCUCUCUCUCUCUCUUUCCCUCCUUCCCUCCCCUCUCCUUUAAAACUGUAGCAUUGAUGAGCUGGGAAGAUGGCCCAACAGGUGGAGACACUUACACUGAGCCUGAUGUCUUGAGUUUUUCCUGGGGAUUAACCAGGAUCAACAUGGUCUGAGGAGAACUGAUUCUUCUUAUUUCCAUGCAGAACAUACCUUUAAUCCCUCCGGCAGGAAUACAGACACACCUUUAAUUGUGGCUUUCCUAUUGACUGGCUCCAGUAGAGUGGCGCCCAAUGUGGGGCUUGACUACAGGAUGCGCAAUGAAGAACACCUUUAGAAGUAGAGCUCUUGGGGAAAAGUGAAAGUGUUGGCAUUGAGGGCAUAUUUGUGUUUUUUCCACAAGAUGCUGAAGGAGCCAGGUGGCUGCCAGAGUGAUUAGUGAGACAUGCUGAUGCUGGGACAAAGAAUGAUGCUCACCGAGAUCUUGCUGAGUGCCCUGACAAUGGCAGCAGGGAAGUCGUAUUGGACAUCUGUUCCUGAUCAACCUUUGCAACAAUUGUCUGUAUGGUCAAGGCCAGAAGUACUUGUGACCUCUAUAAUACUCACCUGUUAGGAUACCCUUGGUCUAAGGAUAAAAAGUAUUUCAAAUUAUUGAAUUAUACUGCUAUGGGUCAGGGCCUACAUAUAUGUUUUAUUAGAAAUAGUACCAAUGUUGGAUUUGUUUCUGUGCACCCUAAGACUUGGAAGAAGAAUGUCUCU